rnacentral:rRNA from 1 species
AACGAACGCUGGCGGCAUGCCUAACACAUGCAAGUCGAACGAGAUCUUCGGGUCUAGUGGCGCACGGGUGCGUAACGCGUGGGAAUCUGCCCUUUGGUUCGGAAUAACAGUUGGAAACGACUGCUAAUACCGGAUGAUGACGAAAGUCCAAAGAUUUAUCGCCAGAGGAUGAGCCCGAGUAGGAUUAGCUAGUUGGUGUGGGGAAGGCGAACCAAGGCGACGAUCCUUAGCUGGUCUGAGAGGAUGAUCAGCCACACUGGGACUGAGACACGGCCCAGACUCCUACGGGAGGCAGCAGUGGGGAAUAUUGGACAAUGGGCGAAAGCCUGAUCCAGCAAUGCCGCGUGAGUGAUGAAGGCCUUAGGGUUGUAAAGCUCUUUUACCCGGGAUGAUAAUGACAGUACCGGGAGAAUAAGCUCCGGCUAACUCCGUGCCAGCAGCCGCAGUAA